AAAUACUUGGUUUCUCAUGUCAUACGUCAGAGAUAAAAUUCAGUACAUUACCGAAAAGACAGUAACUGACAAUAACGGGCGAUAUUUACUAAACUCUUCAAUAAGGAGGUAUAUAAUUGUUAAUAGACAGACGAAGUUCAGACAAGUUAGGAGACAGAGACAUAUUAUAUGAAAGAUACAAGUUAAUACAGGUGUAAUGAAUGACAAUACAGCCUGGGUUCCAAGAUGGCUCCAAAAUCCUGAGGUAGAUGACCAGAAGAAAUGGAUGAAAGGAUGGGUUGAGAGUGAGGAAGACCUCCAGACAGUACUAGAGGCUCAUAGAAGAGCAUCUCUAAGUACCUAUGUGACAUGGUCAGAUGACUCAAAGAAAAAGAAAAAAACAGAGAGAAGGAUUCUAUGGAAAUAUGGAGAUGUCGACAUACAUAAAGGCAGUAUGCCAUUCUCUGUAAAAAGAACUAUAAUGUAUACCUGCCAAUAUGGAAAGCCAAGAAGAAAAAGUAGCAAUGAAAACAUGGCCUAUUUUAUGCUCACUUGGCCUUAAAGGCCAGGUGAGAUUUUCUCAUCACUUGGUGUCCGACAUGGCUGUCAGUUAUCGUCGUUGUAUAUCAUUUUUAACUUUAACAAAUAUCUUCUACCCUGAAACCACUUAUACAAAUUUAACCAAAUUUGGCCAGAGUCAUCAUUAUGCUAUUUAGUUAAAAAAAUGUGUCUGAUGACCCCAUCUGCCAACAACCAUGGCUGACAUAGAUGAAGAUAAAACAUAGGGGUAUAAUCCAUUGUGUGGCUCAUAUCUCUUAAACUAAAGAUAAAGUAUAACCAUCCUGUCUGGAGAAGACAGUUAUUGUGUAGUGCAUUUCUUUAAGAAAAUAAAUUCAAAUUAAAAAAAAUGCACCUACUCUUUCUCAGAUUUUUAAAGCGUAGUGUACUACAAGUGGGACAAAUAAUAUCAAACUUAUAGAAGCUUCUACUUGCUCUAACUCAAAAUAUUGACAACUUUGUGAUAAGGGGGUCAAAAAUUUAGUUUGUCAGCUUCAGACGUACUAAAACUGGACCUUUUUUUAACUGGACCAAAUCACUAAUUUACAUAAAGAUUCGGUGCCCAAUUUUUUUUAAAAUGUAAUUUCACCCCCCUACUUAGUAUUUCAUGCAUUACAUAUUUAGAAAUUAAUUGGGAAAGUGUAUAAAAAAAAAUUGCAAGUAAUACACUGUAACACUAAGGACACCAAAGGAGGAUAACUGUGUCCUUGAAUCUCCUGCUUGCAUUUUUUCAUGUAUCAAUUGUAAACAAAAAUAUAAGGUGAGCGAAACAGGCUGAGCUUGAAGCCUCUAGUUUAUAUGGUAUGAAAAGAAAACAAUAAACUGAUUUAUAUUGCAACUAGUCCAGUUUAUUUCCUAAAUAUAGUAACAUAGCUUCAUUUUGUAUAAUUUCAAUUUCAUGUGGAACACUUUCUCAACAAUCGGGUGUCCAUUCAGGGAUGGAAAUAAGUUGGACAUUUGUGUUACAAUUUAAAAAGCUAUCAGUGUAUCAGUUAAGUUGCAGUAUAAAAACAAUAUAAGGUCUAUGUCAUAAAAGUAUAAACUUAUUUGUAUUUAGUGCAAAAAUGUUGAAGGGCUUUUUAGAAUGUUGCUCUUCACCAUUUUCUCAGCCUCAUACAAAAAAGUUUAUAUUUUUCUGUCAUUGUCCUUAUAUUGUAUAUUUAUUUGAAUAUUGAAUGGUUAUCUUAAUCAAUAUAAUACUACAGCAUUACAAAAAAAAUAAUUGAUUGAUUAGUAGAGUGGAGGGGAGGACACUAUUUUCAAUAUUUUUGCUGUCUGUGCGUAUUUAUUGUUGCUUUCCAUUCUAUUUUCACAUCAACUAUUACUGUAUGAUAAAAAUCAGUUAUUUAUCAUAUCAAUAAGUUUUUGCUAUUUACAAAUUAAUAGUUCUUACAAGGAUUUGUAUAGUAAG